CGUGUAGGCGGCUUGUCAAGUCCGAUGUGAAAUCUCGUGGCUCAACCACGAAACUGCAUUGGAAACUGGCUUGCUAGAGUCCGGAAGAGGAGAAUGGAAUUCCUGGUGUAGCGGUGAAAUGCGCAGAUAUCAGGAAGAACACCGGUGGCGAAGGCGGUUCUCUGGGACGGUACUGACGCUGAGACGCGAAAGCGUGGGGAGCGAACA
rnacentral:rRNA from 1 species